UAAGGAAUAUUGGUCAAUGGAGGCAACUCUGAACCAGCCAUGCCGCGUGCAGGAAGAAUGCCCUCUGGGUUGUAAACUGCUUUUAUACGGGAAUAAACCCCACUACGUGUAGUGGGCUGAAUGUACCGUAAGAAUAAGGAUCGGCUAACUCCGUGCCAGCAGCCGCGGUAAUACGGAGGAUCCAAGCGUUAUCCGGAUUUAUUGGGUUUAAAGGGUGCGUAGGCGGCUUGUUAAGUCAGGGGUGAAAGACGGUGGCUCAACCAUCGCAGUGCCUUUGAUACUGACGAGCUUGAAUGUACUUGAGGUAGGCGGAAUGUGACAAGUAGCGGUGAAAUGCAUAGAUAUGUCACAGAACACCGAUUGCGAAGGCAGCUUACUAAAGUAUGAUUGACGCUGAGGCACGAAAGCGUGGGGAUCAAACAGG
rnacentral:rRNA from 2 species